ACUGUUGCCAACUCCUCAGUAAGGAAAGUCGCUGUUGGCUGUCCUAAAAGUCGCUAGAAGUCGCUAAAUGACGUCAUCGCCUAAUUUGCAUAUUUCCCAGUUUGCAUGUAAUUGUAAACGUUUUAGGAGAGAGGAAUAACAUUGUGAAAGAGACCAAAAAGUGAAUAUAAAAUACCCAAAAUAUGUUUUUGUACUAGAGGCUAAAUGCUGUGGUUUAUUUUAGCAUGACAGUGAAGAAAGAUUUUCGUUUAUAUGGCUCCGUAAGUCUGGAUGGGAUCUGUAGUGACUGCGCAUGCGCGAUUCAUCUGCCGUCUGGCCGCGGAGUGAUAUGGGUCUCUCCCUCCCGUCACUGGGACUGCUGCAGGGUUACUGGACUGACAGCCUGUGCUCUGGGAGGGGGAGAAGCUCACAGCAGCACCUGCUGCUUGUUGAGGACAGUAACUGCAGAAUGAGCCGAGUUUUCCUAUUAGAGUCUCCAAAACGGCAGAAAAAGUCGCUAGAUUUGUGGCUAGUCGCUUUUGACCAAAAAAAGUCGCUAGGAGCUUUGAAAAGUCGCUAGAUUUAGCGAGAAAGUCGCUAAGUUGGCAACACUGCUCAGACAGAGAGCGGCCUGCUGAUGAACAACAACUGACGUCUCGUCUCCCGUUUUUUCCUGAAUAAUACAGGUUAGUAAUGUGUUUCAAUUUGACACUAUACAGCCCGACAGACUGAGCAAACCUUCAUGGUGUGUGGUGAAGUUGGAGAAGGUUCAUGUUACAUAGACGGUCAUUUCAGUGACCGAUUGUUUGUGGUCGCGGCUAAUGCUUUGCUAGCUCCCGUACAAAGAGGUCGACAAAAUGGCAGCUUGUACGAUAUCUUUUUGCAUUCCGACAGUAGCUCCGUAAUACAUGUGCCCUUGUGUCAGUUUUUUCCAUGUAUAGACUGUAUUUGAAGAGCAGAAAUUGUUUAGUUGUUAUUAAUACAGCGUGAAGUCUGUGUUUGAUACUGUGUUCAUGAAUUUUAUUGAUCAGUUCACAUGUGUUUGUAUACAACAAAAACGAGUGAUGAAAUUGGUAGGCUUAAUUGCAGUGUGGAAAUCACUGAUAUGCUAAGCUGGAGCAGCAUUGACAGCGUAAAAGAUAGUCCAGACUGUUAAGUUGGAUCAUUUUGGGCUGUGCAAACAGCAGUUUGAGAGUGAUGGGAAAUGUAUUUUGUGUAUCCCAACGGUUUGAAUAUGUGUUUAUAUAUUGUUUGAUGGUGUGAUACAAUUUGUUAAAAAUUCAUUGUGGAAAACAGACAACUUGCAUAGGAAUUACAACAAAAGAGAAAAAAAUGAGAUCUGUUUAAUAAAGACAGAGAGCGGCCUGCUGAUGAACAACAACUGACGUCUCGUCUCCCGUUUUUUCCUGAAUAAUACAGAACACACAUCUUCUGGAAACAGGUAACUCGGCUGAGGCCUGUAACAUAAGCUCAGAGGAGUAAGCAGCUGUAGUCGAUUGUAAUCAUUCAUGAGGAGUGAGAAGGUCAUGCUCGUAAAUAAAUUUGAUGAACACAGCUGUCUGAAUCACAUAACUGAAUGUUUGAGUUUUUAUAUGUACAUUUUGACCCAGCAGCAGUGGCAGCUUGUUAAUCUGGGGCGCUAGGGCACCGCCCCCAUCAAGAUUUUGUGAAAAAGGUAUUGAUACAGUAAACAUAAAUACGUAUUUAAAGUAAUUAACACAUCUGCACAGUGUUCACUCAUACAGUGGGUCUCAUUUUUAUUUUUUUUUAAGCCUUUCCAUUCCAUAUUGGGGGGGUUUUUCGGUGUUGUUUUACACGUUUCAAUAGCGAGGUGCGCCUGCCAAAUGAGAGUGCAUGUACAUUCUCCGACAGCAAAGAGGCGUCGGGCACUCAGUUCAGAGGAUCGUCAAAGGGUUGCAGAAGAGAUCUGCAAGACCAUUCUGGGACACACCAAGGAGCGCUUCUCCUUCACCGACCAUCUCGUCUGUGCAACCUCGUUGCGGGGGGACAGGUUUGAAGAACAUCACGGGUCAUUUCCUGAAGAGGCACCGCAACGCACUUUGAAGGCCUACCCGAUGCUGAAUGGAAGCAAGCUGAAGACAGAACGCGGUCUCAUCUCCAGCAAAGUAGAGUUCAGAGCCUGCUGUGGUGCACUGGACCUAUUCCAGCUGUUUAUAGAGAACAAUCUUGAAGUUGUCUUUUCAGAAACUGUCAAUCUUUUAAGGAUCCUGAUCACCACACCCAUGACCACAGCUGAAGCAGAGAGGUGUUUCUCAACCUUGAAAAGAGUGAAAACUUUUCUCAGAAACACCAUGACCCAGGAAAGGCUGAAUGCCUUGGCCAUGCUCUCCAUGGAAAAGAGACUUGUUUGUGAAAUGACAGAUUUCAAUCAGAAAAUCAUUGAUAAAUUUGCUGGCCUGAAGGAGAGGAGAGCAAAAUUGAUGUUCAAGUAAUUGUUUUGUUGUGUUGUAAUGCCCGUCUGCUAGUGCGCCCCCCCAGAAUAUUUUAUCACCAGCCGCCACUGUUUAAGACUCUGUCUGAUCUUUGAACUGAACAAUGCCAUUGACCUACCACUGCAGCACAUAAAUCACCAAGCAGUCUGUGGAACAAAAACGUGAUCGAUGUCUGUUGAUGCUUAACUGACAAAUGAUUUUUCUUCAGCUUAGUCAGCACAUGACUGGUUUAUUUGAAAUGGGUAUUUUCAAAAAGAUAUUUGAAUGAAAGUCUCCCCACUACAGAGUAUAAAUGUUGCUUUGUCUAGUAAACGAGUUGGUGGUGUCUUUAAGUUUAUUUUUAAUUCAACCUCCAAACUUGGAGGCUGAUUUGAGACUCCUGUAAUGACACCACCUCCAUCUGCUCCAUCACAGACUGACCAGCCCACCUGCUGGUCUUCUGUGCAUCAUCUGAGCCUUAUUUUCAAUAUCUAGAAAUUGCAGGCCUUUCUCAAGCCCAGGCCCAGAGUGGCUGAUCGGGAGGACCGGGACAAUUCCCGGUGGCUCGGUCUGAUGUUUGGGCUGCGAGGGCCGGUGUUCAGUCAUGCCACUGGAUUGAUCAUUCUGCUGCUGCCGCUGUUCCUGGGCCGCCUCCAUUGGCAGCUCUUUUUUGUUUGAUUUUGUUUUUUUUUUUUUGUUGUUGCAGACGCACCAUGACGUAACACGUCCGUGCGCACGGUCGGAGGUGUUUGAAACAUAUAUGUCUGUGGUUUGAAAGAUGAAAACAGGAAGAGCAAAGGUGGUGUGGAGUAGUGACCCAUUUUAUUUUUUAUCAUUAAAAGACAGUAAAUACACAAAGCCCACAAUUGACAGGGAAUAGGAAGAGAUAAAAACAUUUACUUUCAUUACUGAUGUUGUCCAGUUUUAAUAAAGUUCAUGCUACUUUUAUAAAAUGAUGAAAGUGAAUAAAUUGUAUUUGUGUGAUCUGUGUUUGAUAGCUGUCUUUUCUCCGGUCAUCCAGAUGUUCAGAGGGAGGUGAUGCCACAUCUGGUCCAGCUGAUGGAAGGUGUUGAAGUUCUUUGACUGAAGAUGAUCCUCUGACUGGAUUUAAGGUUCAGAUGCUCAGGAACAAACGCCACCAAUGAGCCAACAGGGAAGCUUUAGGAUUAUUAAAUGCUGCUGUGAAGGUUUCGCUGUUUUUCUUUGUGAAUGCAAAGUGCUCCAACUGAAACUUGAACUAGAACUUAGUAGUAAAUCCUUCCAUCUGACAGGAUUUAGUUGCAUUAAUAACCUCAUAACAUUCUAAUUUUUAUCCCAGUCUUGGUUGGAAACAGAAUCUCUGUAUUGAUUCAGGUAAAAACUGAACUUCACAGCAUGUUGGAGCAAAACAAGCAGAUGAAAAGUGUGACGGUGUUGGGUUGUCAGACCGUAAUGUUGCAGCUCAAAGCAGCUUUUCUAUCUCACUUCAUUCUGACAUUCAGCUCUGAAUCUACAGCAGAUCCAGAAGAUGGUGAUCCAUGCUGUGGAAGUCUCACAUCUCAUUUAAUUACACUGUUUUUUCACCAACACUUUAUUUAAUGAAAGUCCCAUUUAGUUUUUAUGAGGAAUGUGACGUUUUAAUUUCUCUGUGAAUAACUGCAGUCUGGUGGAACAGCUGGAGUUGUAACAUCUGUCCUGAUAUUGAUCAUGAAGUACUGAUCAGAAUACUUUGGGUUAGCAGUCAUCCCUGAAGUUUUACAUGAAAAAAAAAUCUUCACUUGUGAACUUUGGUAAGAAGCAGAAACUUUAGCGUUGCCAUGGAUACAUGGGUGUUAAAUUCAGUCCAUGUUUCAUUUUGGGAUGCAGUCCAGCAGAUGACUUUGUUUUUACUGACAGCUACCAUUCAGUCUGAGAUAUUAAGAAUAAAUAAAUGUGCAUAAUGUGGAAAUGAACAGAUUUUAUUUUUAUUUAUUCCUACAGCUGCCGCAGUCAAAGUUCCAGAAUGUGGAGAAAUUUAAUCUCACGAUGACAGACAAUAAAUAUGAUCUGAAAGUUG